UACAGAGGGUGCGAGCGUUAAUCGGAAUUACUGGGCGUAAAGCGUGCGUAGACGGUUAUUUAAGUCGGAUGUGAAAGCCCCGGGCUCAACCUGGGAAUUGCAUUCGAGACUGAAUAGCUAGGGUACGGUAGAGGGAAGCGGAAUUUCCGGUGUAGCGGUGAAAUGCGUAGAUAUCGGAAGGAACAUCAGUGGCGAAAGCGACUUCCUGGACACCAACUGACGCUGAGACGCGAAAGCGUGGGGAGCAAACAGG
rnacentral:rRNA from 1 species